CCCACUGGUCAUUCUUCCCGGACUAGAAACCAGUCACGAUCGCGAGCUGUCGGUCUCCUCAUAGGGAAGUCCUCUCAGUAUCUAAUGGCAGCCAAAAAUUCAGGAAAAAGGGACGAAAGGGGAAGCGAUAUGAUGACACGUGAAGAGCAAAGCGCUUUUAUAGAAGCUGAGAAUGAACCCUCGGCUGGGGCAGAAGGAGUGCUGAGGGCAGAAGGAGUGCUGAGGGCAGAA